UGUAGGUCUUGGAUAUUAAUAUCAAUUGGAGGAUGCAAAAAUUACUUGUUUUCUCGACGCUUUUAUUUAUUGGAGCUACUGCAACGAAUAACCACUGGAUGUAUGAACAAAAUUAUCCUGCCAUUAAUACCGGAAGUUUAGGUAACGCAGGUGGAUGUCAGUGCUCGUGUGGACCUGUUAUUGAGCCACGUAGAGGGAGCGGUGUUUUACCAACAAACAGUAGACGCAGACGUAAAAACAGU